AAUACGUAGGGGGCAAGCGUUGUCCGGAAUCAUUGGGCGUAAAGAGCGUGUAGGCGGCCCGAUAAGUCCGCCGUGAAAGUCCAGGGCUCAACCCUGGGAUGCCGGUGGAAACUGUCGGGCUAGAGUCCGGAAGAGGCGAGUGGAAUUCCUGGUGUAGCGGUGAAAUGCGCAGAUAUCAGGAGGAACACCAAUGGCGAAGGCAGCUCGCUGGGACGGUACUGACGCUGAGACGCGAAAGCGUGGGGAGCAAACAGGA
rnacentral:rRNA from 1 species